rnacentral:rRNA from 1 species
GACGAACGCUGGCGGCGUGCUUAACACAUGCAAGUCGAACGAUGAAGGCCCUUUCGGGGGUGGAUUAGUGGCGAACGGGUGAGUAACACGUGGGUAACCUGCCCUGUACCCUGGGAUAAGCCUUGGAAACGAGGUCUAAUACCGGAUAUGACCUGCUCUCGCAUGGGGGUGGGUGGAAAGUUUUGGCGGUGCAGGAUGGACCCGCGGCCUAUCAGCUUGUUGGUGGGGUGAUGGCCUACCAAGGCGACGACGGGUAGCCGGCCUGAGAGGGCGACCGGCCACACUGGGACUGAGACACGGCCCAGACUCCUACGGGAGGCAGCAGUGGGGAAUAUUGCACAAUGGGCGAAAGCCUGAUGCAGCGACGCCGCGUGAGGGAUGACGGCCUCGGUU